rnacentral:rRNA from 1 species
AUGGCUUCUGGAUCUACUUGUUCCGGCUCUGUUCCCCUUGGGAGGAGGGGGCUGGUGUCUUGCGCGCACAGCCUCGACUGCCGCGCCGACGACGCGCCUCCUCUCCCCCCCGACCUUGAAAAGGUCGUCUACGAGCUCAUCGUCGGCUUCUACGACCAGGCGUUCGACCGGCUGCCCUGCGAGAGGAUUCCGGGCCUCCUCGACCUCCUCGCCACCGGCGGGUGCGGCACCUGCCUCGGCCUCCUCGACCCCGUCUCCAACAUCAUCCUCAACACCCUCGCCCUCCUCCCCGAAGGCGCCGCCGCCGCAGCUUCCACCGCUCCACCCGCCACAAAGAAGUCCAAAAGACUAGUGCGCAACGACUGGCACGAAAUUGCAAACAGGUCCUGCCAAAGUCUCCUGGCCUUCCUCAUGGUAUACUUCGGAUGCCUCGAAAAGGAACAGGCCGCCCGCUACCUCUACUGGGCCGACGCCAAUCUCAGCCUCGCCGUCAUGCUCAUCCAACACGAUCUCUAUGUGGAGGGUGAAGAAGCAGUACUGGACCCUGAAUCCGACAGGACGCAGGCCGCCCUCGAGUGGGCGGCCACCAUGGCAGGUCACCCUUCGCCCGGCGUUUUGACUCAGCUCAUGUCAUCCCGGCUCAAAGAGGACGACUUUCACCUUCUGGAGAAGCUACUCUUUUCAGCAGCAGAUGGCCCUCUCACGGUUGCGGAUGUCGGAGCCAUAAACCGCAUAUUGCGCAUGAUGAUGAGCCCGCCCUGUGUUGCCACCAUAAGCAGAAAAGGGCCAAUUCUCCAUGUCCGUAAGAACCUCGACGCUGUGUGGUCGACCACCCCCUCCACUACAGAGGACACCGCCACCGCCCUCUGCUGGGACGGAAAACCCAUCUCGUCGCUGCAGUGCGGACUGUCUGACAAGCUGCAACGUUGCCUGGGAAGAGCGGAUGGCCUGGAACAAUAUUUGAAGAAGACCCCGUGCAGCGUUGACGCCUGCGAUUACCUGCAGACUCUCAAGAUGCGCCUCCACGGUAUGAUUCACAACUUCUGCAUCAAGGCGCUCAAGCUGCUGCCCACACCAUCGGGCUCGCUUAUGUGUGGCUUCCUCAUGGCCGGCCACUGCUACGGCUCCAUGGACCCUGUCUCUAACAUCAUCGUCAACUCCAUUUGGUACAACUUCCUUGGCGGUCCUCUCCCAGCGUCUGAAGGCAGCAAGAUUGAGCAAUACAAUGACAUACUUGACCCCCUAUCUCUGCUCCGCACACAGGUCCACUCCCUCAAGGGCCUUAUGGAGCUCGCCACAUUCGCCGGCCCCCAGUUCUCAACAGAGGCUUGUGCUCUAGAGUUGCUCUGCGGUACAAAAUGCGACAUUGUUGACAUGUUACAAUCAUCGCUAAAGAUGAUUAAAAAGAACCACUUCCAUGAAGCUGCCAAGGCCGCUGGACACCCUCUACCGCUUCAGCUGGGUGAACUGCACCGGCUGCUGGUGGUGUUCCCCGAGCAGCGAAGCGUGCUGCUCUCCUUUAUGACCAAGGCUCGAACUGACGGUACCGUGUUGCGCCUUGAUGACAUGACACUUCAUAUUAGGCGCAUGUGGAGCAGAUACUCGAAGGUUCGUGUCGGCUGCUAUGAGCAAGCUCCUGAUCUUUUUCCAGAGUCUCGGAGGUUGGUGUCUAGCAUGAGAUCACAGUAUGAGGAGGGGAGGAGCUGGUUCCGUUCAAAGAUUGAACAGGUGCUGAAGGAUUACACGACCCAGCAUUUUUGGGAACCACAGUAUAAACUUGACAUUAUCUGUGGCGUGGAGGAAAUCAACCAAAGCUGCCCCCCCUCGGGUAAGAUGUGCUACCGCGUGAACUUCACUGCUACUUCUGAUUUGCAGCUUCAGAGGACGCUAUUCUUCGCCGAGUUUUUGUUCUCAGGUGGGCCAAGGCCAGAGACCUGCUGCCCUCUACCCUAUGAGUAUGCAGGCCGUUGCUACUCUGGCGUGCUUACCGCAAGGAAAAUCGUGUAUCCAGAUGACGCCAAAUACAUCCCGCACGAUAUCACCCAUGACGGUACCUGCCACGUGGAUGACAUGCUAGAGAUGGACUUCGUCCUCAGUUCCGAGAAAGAUGUGGAGCUUGUGGAGAAACUCAACAAGAUGCACACUGAAGAGAUGUGGGGUUACAGUUGGAAGGGAUAA